UAUUUAGCGGCGGCGCGGAUCAAGCGGAGCCCGCGGCGGCGACAUGGCCGCCGCCAGCACGGAGCCGCCGAGGCUGCAGCAGCUGCUGGAGCGGGACCCUUACCUGGCGCCCUUCCGGACCGACUUCCAGCGCAGGUAUUCACUGUUUUAUAACCACUUGAAGAACAUUGAGGAAAGCGAAGGCGGCCUUGAUAAAUUUACAAAAAGUUACAAAACCUUUGGAGUUAACCAGCUUGCGGAUGGCGGAAUAUACUGCAAGGAGUGGGCACCAGGAGCAGAAGCAGUGUUUCUUGCAGGUGACUUCAAUGGCUGGAAUCCAUUUUCUCAUCCAUAUAAGAAGUUGGAAUAUGGCAAGUGGGAGUUGCUCAUUCCACCUCAAGACGGCCACUCUCCUGUACCCCAUGGAUCAAAGCUAAAGGUGGUGAUUCGUGCUCAGAACGGCGCCCUCCUCUAUCGCAUUUCACCCUGGGCAAGAUAUGUGGUCCGUGAUGAAGACAAAGUGAAUUAUGAUUGGGUUCACUGGAAUCCACCACAGUCAUAUAUACAUAAGAAUCCUUCUCCAAAAAGAUUAAAAAGCCUAAGAAUCUAUGAAUCUCAUGUGGGAAUUGCUUCCCCAGAAGGGAAAGUAGCUUCUUAUAAAAACUUCACAUACAAUGUAUUACCUAGAAUAAAGGAUCUUGGCUAUAACUGUGUCCAGCUGAUGGCUAUUAUGGAACAUGCAUACUACGCUAGUUUUGGUUAUCAGGUCACAAGUUUCUUCGCAGCAUCAAGCCGGUACGGAACUCCCGACGACCUGAAGGAAAUGAUUGACGUUGCUCAUUCCAUGGGCAUCACAGUCCUGCUUGAUGUGGUGCACAGCCACGCCUCAAAAAACUCAGAAGAUGGUCUCAACCAGUUUGAUGGUACAGAUUCUUGUUUCUUCCAUUCUGGCUAUAGAGGUACUCACCAGCUCUGGGACAGCAGGCUCUUUGACUAUGCAAACUGGGAAGUCCUGAGAUUCCUUCUGUCUAAUUUGAGGAUGUGGAUUGAAGACUAUCGCUUUGACGGAUUCCGGUUCGACGGCGUUACGUCCAUGUUGUACCACCACCACGGCAUUGGCACAGGGUUCAGUGGAGAUUACAAUGAGUAUUUUGGCCUACAUGUGGAUGAAGAUGCUUUGUGUUACCUGAUGCUGGCCAAUCACAUGAUUAACACCUUGCACCCAGAAUGCAUAACCAUAGCAGAGGAUGUUUCUGGAAUGCCAGCUCUGUGUCGGCCUGUGGAAGAGGGUGGAGGAGGUUUUGAUUAUCGACUUGCCAUGGCCAUUCCAGAUAAGUGGAUACAGAUAAUUAAGGAGCUGAAAGAUGAAGACUGGAAUAUGGGCAAUAUUGUGCAUACAUUAACAAACAGACGGUAUGAAGAAAAAUACAUUGCUUAUGCAGAGAGUCAUGACCAGGCACUGGUUGGUGACAAGACACUGGCCUUUCACCUGAUGGAUGCAGAGAUGUACACAAACAUGAGUGUGCUCAUGCCUCUGACUCCAGUUAUUGAUCGUGGGAUACAGCUCCAUAAAAUGAUUCGUCUCAUUACUCAUGCACUCGGAGGAGAGAGCUAUCUGAACUUCAUGGGUAAUGAAUUUGGACAUCCAGAAUGGCUUGACUUCCCCAGAAUAGGGAAUAAUGAGAGCUACCACUAUGCCAGAAGACAGUUUAAUCUUACUGAGGAUGAUCUUCUUCGCUAUAAAUUCCUAAAUGCCUUUGAUAGAGAUAUGAAUAAAUUGGAGGAAAGAUUUGGCUGGCUUGCAUCUCCCCAGGCCUAUGUGAGUGAAAAGCAUGAAUCCAAUAAGGUCAUAGCAUUUGAGAGAGCAGGUCUUAUUUUUAUUUUCAACUUCCAUCCAUACCAAAGUUAUGUGGACUACAGAGUGGGUAUUGAAACUCCAGGAAAGUAUAAAAUCCUUCUGGAUUCUGAUGCUGGAGAAUAUGGAGGGCAUCAAAGGCUGGACCACAAUACAGAGUACUUCUCUGAAGAAUUUCCUCACAAUUAUCGACCUAAUUCAAUUAUGUGUCUGGCACACGGUGUUUCUUGCCAACAUUCAUGAAGACCUAUUAACAUGCUUUGAGUUGCUAUCAUUGAUAUUAUCAUUUAUUUUCAUGUAGAGAAACCGCAUCUUCAUGCUUGCUUUGUGUAAAGCUCUACAGAAUCUGAUCCUUUGCUGUCUUCAAAUCGUGUGCUUAAGUCUACAAACAUGAAUUAGAGUCAAUCUUGUUUGCCAAGUGCCUUUUUCCUCCUCAGUUUACAGAAAAACUUUGCCAAAGGGAGCAGGAUUUCUCUGUUCACAUCAAGAAUUUCAAGGAUUUCCAGUCCUUAAGUGAUAUGAAUAAUGGAUAAAGAAUUUGCCAAAAAUCACUAAUUUCUGUUAGCUGAGGUGGUCACUUAAAAAGCUCUACCUUUCUUAAUUGCUCUUGAAAUCAGAACCAUCAUAAUUAACAAUUUUAAAAUGUUAUUUUCCCUUUUCUUUGUGUAUGUAUAUGUCUAUAUAUGCACAUAUUUCCCAUUCUUUUUAAUAUGCAUUCACAUAUGUGUAUGUGCUCACAAGCACAAGAAAAUAAGAUUCAGAAAGGCUGGGAAUUAAGGCAAGAGUUCACUGAAAAAAAUCUGAAAUUACUUAUAUUCCUUGGUAGAUUUUUAUACCUAAAACAUUAAUGUGGGUGAAGGGUGUGUUUCUCUAUGCACAGGUAUAUUACUAGACAUGAACACCUGCAAAUAAGUUACAUUUUUAACCUUAAGAGCCUGCAAAAAUAGAGCAUCUGCACUGAUUUGUGUUGGCCACUCCCCUUCCAUGGCAUGAAUUUCUAGUGUCACAUCUUAACUUUUCUCAUCAGAUCUAAACUCCUGAGAAUUAUUGUCACUUCUAGCCUCUCUUUCUUUCAUUGCAUCCAGAGUAUUGGCAUUUCUUUCAUUUGCAUGAUUCAAAAUAUUUUUAUUGCAUGAAAGAAUUUUUGUGCUUUCAUUGUGGUGUAAAGGAUCUUAGAAAUGGGAUUUGGGUGUUGUUGGUUUUUUUGGGGUUUUUUUUUUAAGUAUCUGCAUGUGACAGUGUCUUCAUAGUGUGGGUAAGUAUUUGUGCUUAUUUGAAAUGAAAGGUCUGAGAUUUCAUUCCUGAAGGUUGUGUAGCAAAAUAUUGCUUCCAGAGUUCUUGCUUCGUGUGUGCCCAAUUCAAAUACAUUGCCUGUGUGAUUGGAGAGCAUCUUAAUUAUCUAUCACUAACUUAAUUUUUGCAAGCUGAUUAACUGUAAUUCAGAAUGUAUAUUCCGCAUUUAGUCCAUUAGAUUUAGUCCAAAGCUGCAGUUUGCUGGGAGUAUGUGGAAGAUAAGGCAUGUGGCAAACACAGCAGCAAAUGCACUUUUGCAGCAUAAGCUGUGGCAUGGCAAUGGCACCUCCAGGUCAGAAAGAAACCUAGGUAAACUUUCUCUUAUGUCCUUCUGCCACCCAAUUAGCAGAGCACCUCCAACCAACUCCCCAGAGGAUUCCCCAGGCACCAAAUAAAGGUGUACAUUCCAAGCAGGGUGGCUCUGGUGCUUCACAACACGGACAUCCCAAAGUGAAGUUCUCUGUAACUACCACCGAAGAAGCAAGUCACAAGGAAGUGCUGAUACACUGUACUAGUACUAAGUAUAAACAAACUUGCUCUAAGGAGGCUUUCUGAGGCUGAGUAUAGUAAUAUAGGUGUUUAAAAUGUAAGAUUAAUAUUCACAUGUAAUUGCAGAGCUCUUGACUUGCUAGACCCUCUUUUGAGGAAGCUUUACAAAGAGGCAGAAAGAAAAACGUUGGGUUUGUAGUUCUAGUAGUACAAAAUUACACUUAAGGUGUUGCAAAGCAGCAGGUAUUCUCAAUUAAACUGUUGUUUACAGAAUUUUAUCAGGAAUGAUAAGAGUGAUCCUGCUCCAAAGUUUGUAAUUUCUUAUAAUCUUCAUUUUGAUAGUGAAUUCAAAUAGUCAUUAUAUAUUAAUGCUUCUUACUAAAAGUAAGCAGUUUGCUUAAAUUAAACAGAAGUUUUUGGCUAAAAGGCAGCCUUAACGGUUUGUGGGACCUAAUUUGAGGCUCCUCUUCUUCAAUGAAGUCUAACAUGGAAUUAGAAAUGUUUAUCCAAAUGGAUGAGAAGGUCCUCUGAGAGUCUUGUACUUUGUCAUUUUUUUUUAUUUAAUUACAAAUUCACAAAAAUGCUGGGCAGCAAAACGAGCAGGCUGACUGAGUGGGAGCCUGCUGAUGCUAUUGUGUGUGCUGGUUGUCUGCUCCCACCCAAAUCACUUAGACUGAGCAUCUCACUACAGCUGGAUAGAAAUGACACAAGUGUUUUGUUUAGAUCACUAAAAUGUUCAGUGAGAAGCAUGUUUUGGUCUUACUGCAACAAUACCACACUGGAAGAGGUACUUAAAGUGUAGUUCUUACUCCUGUAUUUAUUUCACUAACAUCAGGACCUUGCAAUACUGAUUUCACUACUUCCAGAAGCUGCCUUUCAGCUUGGAACAUGAUGAUGUUCUUGCACUUUUAUAACUUUUGAAACAUUGCUUCUUGUGAAGAAGCAGUCUCAAAAUUCAGUGAUCAAGCUAAGGUGGUUUUAUUGAUUAAAAUUAAGAUAGUUAAUUAUUGGAGUGCUGCUAAGAUAAUUCAAGUGAGUUCCUUCAUGAGCUACAACUUUUUUUGUAAAGAGUAAGAUUUUGUAUAUUUGAAAAUGUAUUGCAGAGUAUUCUGGAAAAUUAAUACCAAAUUAACAUGACAUGCUUUAUUUUGUUCCAUUUAUUUAAAAACAUAUUUGAAUUGGUUCCGAAAUGAAUGUCUUUUGUACCAAUCUGAAUUUUCUAACUUUUAAAGUAGCCAAAGAAAAAGAUGUCCGUGACCAUUUCCAAGUCAUAAUUUUACCCAGUUUCCUUUGUGAACCAUUGUGUAAACUACUGAAUAGUUGGUGCCAACACUGACAAUCCAUUCACAGUUCUUGGAAUGCUUACUUGUGGCUUACUUCUUAAGCAAAAUAAGGGAUGGAAUAAUGCAGCAUGAUGGAAAACAGUCUUUGGCAGAGUUCACACUGAAAGGACUGUGUGAACGUCCCCAGUCUGAUAUGUUCUGUGUGGCAGAGAUUGUUAUAUUGCAGUUGAGUACCAUAGGAUCAUGCUUCAUUUUCCUCUGCACCAGUUUGAUCAUUGUUUGAUUGUGGGCUAAUAAAAGCAUUCCUGUUACGCUAUGACUUUAAAUAAAAUAUACUGAACUGUUUUAGCAACUGGAACUGAUUAUCUUUUUUUUUUCCCCAGAUUGUUGUCCUUAUAGUGAAAUAACAAGCCACUUCUAAUACAUGUUAUAUUUACACUGUAUUGAUCUAAUAUGUUUUAUAGGGGGGUUUUGUUGGGUUUUUUUCUUUUUUAUUUUUUUUGCUUUUUUUUUUUUUUUUUUUUUGCUUUUUUACUGGCACCAGUUCCAGGUUUCAAAAUGUAAUGGCAAGCGUUUGUGUCAAACCCUUUUUCAAGAGAAGGAAUAAAUGUAUGAUGUGAAGUAUAAACUGUAAAAUCACAUGCAAAAUAAACUCUGAGGAGGAGAAAACAAA